GAACCCACGGACCGUGAGAUUGUGACCUGAGCUGAAGUCGGACGCUUAACCGACUGCGCCACCCAGGCGCCCCUAGGCCAUUUUAAAUAAUCCUUUCUUCUCUCUCCUCUAUUUAUAAAGCAAAUGGAAACUCGAGGGACAGCUGAUGACAGAGCAGCCCUGAGUGAAAAAGCCGAACACGCCCGGCUCGUCUGCCUGAGCUUUUGACCAUGGAGGGUACCUUAGAUAUAAGCCUGGCUUUUCCGACGUGCGAUCUUUACUGUGACGCCUCUGGCAACCUAGUUUAACUUCUCUGGCGCAAUUAUGAUUUUAUUCGGCCUGGUACCUGUGACUGAAAUAUAAAUUAAGUUCGGGAACACGAUGAAGGUGAUGGUGGUUGGACUUCAUCUAUACUGGCCGACGGGGCAUCGGCCAGGCGGGUGGGCACGCGGAGUGAGGGAGAAGGGCUGAGGUCUGACUUGUGUGUUGCUCUUGGGCCUCGUGGCUCUCAACUGCCGAGACACAUCCAGCUGGCCCCGACACAGCUGGCAGCGGAGUGCUCUGCAUGGGCUACGCACGGCUCUCUGGCAGCAGAAAACUUUACUUUCUUCAAAUGGCCCGGCAGGAAAGGAUGUUCGUAAUCCGCUUCCCCACCUUUUUUAUUUCUCAUUUUCCGCCUGAAGGAGAGGCUCACUGUCUGAAGACCUCAACAUGUAUGAAGAAAAGAAGGCAAAAAUAUCAAAGAAGAGAGGCAGAAAAUGAUCUCUGAAAAAAAGAAAACCCCAGGAAGAAAGCUGUCAUGUUCCGUGUUUCAACUUCACAAAAGAAUUCUGACUAGAGGCUUGAGCCUUUCAAAUCUCUUGUCAUUCAGGAUAUGAAAUUCUAAUCUAGCGGCAUGGCCAGUUGAGGCUCCGACUUAAUCAAAUAUGCUGACUAGCUGAAACAGGAGGUGGCUUCCUUUCCUUACUUCUGGUUUCCAUCUUUAGUUGGCUUCUCGCUUGCAAAUUAUGACAGUCACUUGCUGUGCAAGCAAUGAAAAUUCCAACGUAGGGGAGGAGAAUCAGUGGGCACCUAAUUGAGUUUUACUAGAUGAAAAGUUACAUCACCCUGCCUCACCUCAGUCUCCUCUGUCUUUAGGGAAUUGCUGAAUUUUAUAUAAAGCCUAUUUAUAAACCACUGCAAGUGAUACUUGCAUUCAUCUUGCACUGUGACAUCAUUUCCUCAUCAAUAAUUUAAGCAGAAGAAACGGAUUAAAGGGACUCUGAAGCGACUUCUCAUACAUGAAAAAACAGAAACCAGCUAAACUCUCCAAAAGAUUAAUUCGGGCGUCUUACCUUGUUCUUUGAUCUGACGAAUUUGCUUCACAGUUUCUUUUAAGAUUGCACAUUUGUCAGGUUUGAAGUUGAAGUUGUCUAUAUCAUUAAAAUUUGCAAAAAUCAGC